CAAGAAAGUUUGCUUUCAGUAUAAAAUUAGACACUAAAACUAACUGAUUUUUUUUCCACCCCAAAACCAAACUCUUGCCCAAAUACUUUUCCACUAAACAUAUUCCAGGACAGUAGUUUUAAUGUACAUGAGUGGCUUGGAUCAUAGUAAGGCAGUGUCUGUGUUCCUCCUCAGCUGUCAGUACACUUCGAUGUAUUCCUGGCCAACGCGCCUCUCAGCAGUCACUUGGAAGCACUUGGAAGCAGCUCAACCCACAUUAUCAGAAUAAUAUGGGUGAGAAAACUGCUGGCCACUCUCUGGAAGUACUGUUAAAAGCCUCCGAAAUGCUUUGUGUUCUUGUGAUGGGGGCUUUAGCAAGAGAUCACUGUUGGCACUCCCAGCCUUGCAUCUACAUGGUCAGGAUACUGCAGAACUCCACAGAGCCACCUAGUGCUGGAAAAAGAUCACUUUCAACUCCUGGGACGUCCUCUGCAGUCCCAUAAAUAUUUGGGACUAAUUGUCUGGCAAGGAGGAACCAAAGCCAAUUCUGCAGAAGACAAGACCCUGCAGUUCCAGUUAUGUGCAGCAGCAAGUCUGAGAACAGAAUAGCCGAUGAACUGCGCAUACAGGAAAUGUAUUUUUAUCCUAAUAAGCUAAGGGCAAGAAGGACAUUCUGCAAAACACUGUGAGUGACCAGGCAUUCUCAAGUCGUUAUUAUCUGUGGGACUUCUCCUCUAUGCUGCCAGCCUAAGCUGAGCAGCGAGCAAACCUGAUUUUUUGUAAGGUUACCUGAGCUGCUUCCCAUGCCCUACAGGACUCCCAGCUCUUGCUCUCCACCUAUUUCGCUUUAUUCUCUUCCUUACAGGGUACCUCUUGAAUUUGCUUCUUACUUCUUGGACAUUCUUUGCCAUCACAGGGCCAAGACUUUCUGGCCUCAUAUUCGAUCACGGCUAUGAAAGAAUCAGCAUGGUGUGCUCCCCUCCAUAUCACUUGCUCCUUUGCUCACACUGCCUCCUCCCAUGUGUUGGCAGAGACGACCAAGAAGCCACACAGUGGACCAGAUCAGGAAAUCAAACAACUGAUCUGAAAAUUUAAAAAUAAAAAAAUAAAAUAAAAUACAGAAUAGAAACAGUUGGCACCCAGCUAGUUUAAAUUACCUGAUCCUGUUGACCACAGAAGUGAUGCACUGAUGCUUGUGUGAGAAGGAAACCAGGAGUAGCACAGGGUGAGAUGGUGGCCUGAUAAAUUCAGCAAAUGACAGCCUAAGACGUCACUUCUGCUCUGUACAGAAAUAUCCAACAGGAGAAUCUGGAAUAAGCCCUGCAGUUCUUCCACCAGGGCACUGCUCUAGUUAAAAACAAGUAAGUUAACACCUUUCUUUACAGCCAUUAUUUCUCCGCAGAUUUUAGAUUUGUUGUCCGUGAGAUUGCAGAUAGCCAUGCUCCGGAAACGUGUAGUUUGGAUGUCAGACUGGAAUAUGCAACUUAUCGUUCCCCCUUCCCCCUUAGAAUUUGAGAGGAUUUUGCUGUGGAACUAGCUAGCUGGGCC